AACGAACGCUGGCGGCAUGCCUAACACAUGCAAGUCGAACGGGACCUUCGUGUCUAGUUGCGCACGGGGGCGUAACGCGUGGGAACCUGCCUUUAGGUUCCGAAUUCCUCAUUUUAGUUUGAGCUAAUGCCGGAUGAUUUCUUCUAACCAAAGAUUUAGCGCCUUUAGCUGGGCCCGGGUUGGUUUCGCCUGUUGGUGGUGUAAAGGCCUACCAAGGCGAGGAUCCUUAGCUGGUCUGAGAGGAUGCUCAGCCACAAUGGGACUGAGACACGGCCCAGAAUCCUAGGGGACGGAGCAGUAGGGUAUAUUGGACAAUGGGCGAAGGUCUAGUACAGCAAUGCUGGGUGAGUCAUGAAGGGGUUAGGGAAGUACAGCUGUUUUACACGAGGCGAUAAUGACGGUAUCGGGAGAAUAAGCUCCGGCUAACUCCGUG
rnacentral:rRNA from 1 species